UCCUUAAAACAGGGAGUUCAAGAAGAGCUUCGACGAAGCUUUCUUGAUGGAGGGGAGUGGCAGACGGGUGAGUAACGCGUGGGAACAUACCCUUAACUUCGGAACAACUCCGGGAAACUUGAGCUAAUACCGAAUGUGCCCUUCGGGGGAAAGAUUUAUCGCCAUUGGAGCGGCCCGCGUCGGAUUAGCUAGUUGGUGGGGUAAUGGCCUACCAAGGCGACGAUCAGUAGCUGGUCUGAGAGGAUGAUCAGCCACAUUGGGACUGAGACACGGCCCAAACUCCUACGGGAGGCAGCAGUGGGGAAUCUUGCGCAAUGGGCGAAAGCCUGACGCAGCCAUGCCGCGUGAAUGAUGAAGGUCCUAGGGUUGUAAAGCUCUUUCACCGGAGAAGAUAAUGACGGUAUCCGGAGAAGAAGCCCCGGCUAACUUCGUGCCAGCCGCCGCGGUAAAAC
rnacentral:rRNA from 1 species